UGUGGCAAGAAGGCACGCAGG
rnacentral:misc_RNA from 1 species